GCGCCAGUAGCUCACCUGGAUAGAGCAACGGCCUUCUAAGCCGUAGGCAGUGGGUUCGAGUCCCGCCUGGCGCG
rnacentral:tRNA from 1 species